rnacentral:rRNA from 1 species
GAUGAAUGCUGGCGGCGUGCCUAAUACAUGCAAGUCGAGCGGUAAGGCCCUUCGGGGUACACGAGCGGCGGACGGCUGAGUAACGCGUGGGAACAUGCCCCAAAGUGAGGGAUAACGCACCGAAAGGUGUGCUAAUACCGCAUAUGGUCUUCGGAUUAAAGGAUUUAUCCGCUUUGGGAGUGGCCCGCGUACGAUUAGAUUGUUGGUGAGGUAACGGCUCACCAAGUCGACGAUCGUUAACUGGUCUGAGAGGAUGAUCAGUCAGACUGGAACUGAGACACGGUCCAGACUCCUACGGGAGGCAGCAGUAAGGAAUCUUCCACAAUGGGCGAAAGCCUGAUGGAGCAACGCCGCGUGCAGGAUGAAGGCCCUCGGGUCGUAAACUGCUUUAUGAGUGAAGAAUAUGACGGUAACUCAUGAAUAAGCACCGGCUAACUACGUGCCAGCAGCCG